rnacentral:rRNA from 1 species
GAUGAACGCUGGCGGCGUGCUUAACACAUGCAAGUCGAACGGACAGGCCCUGCUUUUGCGGGUUUCUCGAGUGGCGAACAGGUGAGUAACACGUGAGUAACCUGCCCUUGACUUUGGGAUAACUUCAGGAAACUGGGGCUAAUACCCGAGAGGAUCUCCUGCUGCACGGGGUGGGUUGGAAAGUUUCGGCGGUGGUGUAUGGACUCGCGGCUUAUCAGCUUGUUGGUGGGGUAGGGGCUUACCAAGGGUUUGACGGGUAGCCGGCCUGAGAGGGUGACCGGGGACCAGGGGCCUACGAUAGGGCGCAGUAGGGUACGGGAGGCAGCAGGGGAGAGUCUUGCAGAACGGGCGGGAGCCUGAUGCAGAAGCGCCGCGUGCGGAAUGACGGCUUUCGGGUUGUAAACCGCUUUGGACGGUGACGAAGAGUGAGUGACGGUAAUGGGUAAAGAAGCCACGGCUAACUACGUG